AUUGAACGCUGGCGGCAUGCCUUACACAUGCAAGUCGAACGGUAACAGGUUAAGCUGACGAGUGGCGAACGGGUGAGUAAUGUAUCGGAACGUGCCCAGUCGUGGGGGAUAACUGCUCGAAAGAGCAGCUAAUACCACAUACGACCUGAGGGUGAAAGCGGGGGAUCGCAAGACCUCGCGCGAUUGGAGCGGCCGAUAUCAGAUUAGCUAGUUGGCGGGGUAGAAGCCCACCAAGGCAACGAGCUGUAGCUGGUCUGAGAGGACGACCAGCCACACUGGGACUGAGACACGGCCCAGACUCCUACGGGAGGCAGCAGUGGGGAAUUUUGGACAAUGGACGCAAGUCUGAUCAGCCAUGCCGCGUGCGGGAAGAAGGCCUUCGGGUCGUAAACCGCUUUUGUCAGGGAAGAAAAGGUUCUGGUUAAUACCUGGGACUCAUGACGGUACCUGAAGAAUAAGCACCGGCUAACUAUGUGCCAGCAGCCGCCGUAA
rnacentral:rRNA from 1 species